rnacentral:sRNA from 1 species
CUUCGAAUAGGAAGAACAACUUUGUGAUGAAGUCAUCCCUAACCUUAACCCUUUGUUUUUAAAUUUCGGAACAACAGUAGCACGAAUCUCCAACAAUCCUAACCUUUACUUUUAGAUUUGAGAACAAAUGUAGCACGAAUCACCAACAACCCUAACUUUGCUUUUUAAUUUGGAAAAAACAACCAUGAAUCUCUUUGCUUUCAAGAUGAAUCAACAAUUCAAUUUAACACGUCAACCAAAACUGCACAACUCAUCCGCUUUUUGCCAGCUGGGCAGCUGUGUCCGUAGUCCUUUUUAAGAUGUUAGUGAACUUUUAAAAAAAAAAAAGGACAACUUUGAACAGAUCUACAAAAAGAGUACCAAAGAGCAAUUAAACCUAUUCAAUUAAAUUAAACUAAACCCUUUCUUUUGCCGGAACUGUUCUGGUAAUUCUCUUUCAAUUUAAUCAACACAGGCUACGCCCUUCCUUUCCCGCCACCGAGUUACCCAUCAGCGCCGCCGCCGCCUCCUGCAGGGUAUGAGCCGUUUGCGCCACCGCCUCCGCAGUACCAAGGUUACCAAAGCUAUUUGAAUCAACAGUACCCUCCGCCACCUCCUUCGCAUUACGAUUGCCACCACUUACAGUAUCAUGACGAUGGUACCCCCGGUUUUACUUCCUUCUUGGAAGGCUGCUUGACAGCGCUUUGUUGCUGUUGUUUGCUAGAAGAUUGCUUUUUCUGAUGAUCAUUUUAAAAGUUGCAUCUGCAGUUUGGUGUACUUGGCCGGUUAUAGCUUCUCUGGAUAAAUGUUGCUCUAAUGUCUUCAUGUGUGCGGGAUCUGGUAAGUGUUAGUCAUUGUUGUAACUCUUGGGUCUUUACCUUCUCCCUCACUCGUUUCUGGUUCUUCAUAGAUUUUCUGAUGUGAUCAUUGUGAAUGCUUAAUGUUGCUUAAUGUAUAUUGGAAACUGUAAAGAACAAUGUUUUUACCUGGAAUAACAAACUAAUAUAUUAUGGUUG